GGGUCAGUAGGUUGGUCGUGCCACCGGUACGUACUGGUCUCACUGAUUCCUCCUUCCUGAAGAACAGUAAUGCCAUUAAUUUGGUGUUGCGGGGAAACAGGACCGUUACUUUGAAAAAAUUAGAGUGUUUAAAGCAAGCUAACGCUUGAAUACAUUAGCAUGGAAUAAUGAAAUAGGACGAUCGAUCCUAUUUUGUUGGUUUCUAGGAUUGACGUA
rnacentral:rRNA from 1 species